GAUGAACGCUGGCGGCGUGCCUAAUACAUGCAAGUCGAGCGAACAGACGAGGAGCUUGCUCCUCUGACGUUAGCGGCGGACGGGUGAGUAACACGUGGAUAACCUACCUAUAAGACUGGGAUAACUUCGGGAAACCGGAGCUAAUACCGGAUAAUAUAUUGAACCGAAUGGUUCAAUAGUGAAAGACGGUUUUGCUGUCACUUAUGGAUGGAUCCGCGCCGCAUUAGCUAGUUGGUAAGGUAACGGCCUACCAAGGCGACGAUGCAGAGCUGACCUGAGAGGAUGAGACGCGACAUUGGGCAUGAGACACGGCCCAAACGCCUACGGGAGGCAGCAGUGGGGAAUAUUGGACAAUGGGCGCAAGACUGAUCCAGCCAUGCCGCGUGAGUGAUGAAGGCCUUAGGGUUGGAAAGCUCUUUCACCGGAGAAGAUAAUGACGGUAUCCGGAGAAGAAGCCCCGGCUAACUUCGUG
rnacentral:rRNA from 1 species